AUAAAGUCGAACGGACCCUUCGGGUUAGUGGCGGACGGGUGAGUAACACGUGGGAACGUGCCUUUAGGUUCGGAAUAGCUCCUGGAAACGGGUGGUAAUGCCGAAUGUGCCCUUCGGGGGAAAGAUUUAUCGCCUUUAGAGCGGCCCGCGUCUGAUUAGCUAGUUGGUGAGGUAACGGCUCACCAAGGCGACGAUCAGUAGCUGGUCUGAGAGGAUGACCAGCCACACUGGGACUGAGACACGGCCCAGACUCCUACGGGAGGCAGCAGUGGGGAAUCUUGCGCAAUGGGCGAAAGCCUGACGCAGCCAUGCCGCGUGAAUGAUGAAGGUCUUAGGAUUGUAAAAUUCUUUCACCGGGGACGAUAAUGACGGUACCCGGAGAAGAAGCCCCGGCUAACUUCGUGCCAGCAGCCGCGGUAAUACGAAGGGGGCUAGCGUUGCUCGGAAUUACUGGGCGUAAAGGGCGCGUAGGCGGAUCGUUAAGUCAGAGGUGAAAUCCCAGGGCUCAACCCUGAAACUGCCUUUGAUACUGGCGAUCUUGAGUAUGAGAGAGGUAUGUGGAACUCCGAGUGUAGAGGUGAAAUUCGUAGAUAUUCGGAAGAACACCAGUGGCGAAGGCGACAUACUGGCUCAUUACUGACGCUGAGGCGCGAAAGCGGGGGAGCAAGCAGGAUUAGAUACCCUGGUAGUCCACGCGUAAACGAUGAUUGCUAGUUGUCGGCUGCAUGCAGUUCGGUGACGCAGCUAACGCAUUAAGCAAUCCGCCUGGG
rnacentral:rRNA from 1 species